AGUAGAACAUCUUGGUUAAAUGGAAAAUUUCUGAGGAACUGACAGAUUGUUUUCCAAAGUGGUUUUACCAUUUUACAUUUUCAUCAGCAGU
rnacentral:pre_miRNA from 1 species